UGGUGCUGCCUUUCAACUGUUUAAUGGAUGUUCUUAUUUGGGUGAAUGGUUUAAUGUUUCCAUUAUGGCUAUUCGCCUAUAAGAAUAUGCUCGGACCGCAGACUUUUCUCACUGAUCCUACAGUCGUUAGUUUCUAAACUGAGACGAACUAAAAACAGCGUCUGCUUCACGAGUGCUGCUCCUGUCUCACCCGCGAGUCAAGGUUACUCUGCACAAAGCCCUGCCGCUGAUGUCUGAAUUAUUGGGUGUCUGAUUGCAGAGCACAAGAGGUGUACAAAAUUCUUCAGAGAUGCCAGUUGUCAUUUUCCCCAUUAGUCUGGCCAGGCAAGUCCAGAGUCCAGUGUUCUCGAUUCUAUUUCUGCUUACCACGCACCCACAACAUGAACACGUUGUGGCAACACUCAUGUUACUGAGUUUGAAUGUUUCAGCAGUAGCGACAAUCAGCAGGACAUGUUGCAUCUGCAGUACCAUUUGGAGGAUCAGUUUACUUCUACUCGUGAACCAACAGCACUGUGCCGACUGAAAACUGCAGUGGAAAGUUUAGAGAUUGUGAAAUGACCUGAGUCCACAACUGGCCAGACUUGUUCUGUUCCGGAUGUUGUGUACUCUCUCUCUCACACACAUUUAAAAGCUUAUUUACAGCAGCAUGAUU